CCAAUAGCGUAUAUUAAAGUUGUUGUAGUUAAAAAGCUCGUAGUUGAAUUUCGGGAUCAGUACGUUGGUCAUGCCUUGGUAUGUACUGGUGUAACUGAUUCCUCCCUUCUGACGAACCGUCAUGCCAUUCACUUGGUGUGGCGGGAAAUCAGGACUGUUACUUUGAAAAAAUUAGAGUGUUUAAAGCAGGCUCGCGCUUGAAUACAUUAGCAUGGAAUAAUGAAAUAGGACGUUAAUCCUAUUUUGUUGGUUUCUAGGAUCGACGUAAUGAUUAAUAGGGAUAGUUGGGGGCAUUAGUAUUCAAUUGGCAGAGGUGAAAUUCUUGGAUUUAUUGAAGACUAACUACUGCGAAAGCAUUUGCCAAGGAUGUUUUCAUUAAUCAAGAACGAAAGUUAGGGGAUCGAAGACGAUCAGAUACCGUCGUAGUCUUAACCAUAAACUAUGCCGACUAGGAAUCAGACGAUGUUAAUUUUUUAAUGACUCGUUUGGCACCUUACG
rnacentral:misc_RNA from 1 species